AGUGAACGCUGGCGGUAUGCCUAACACAUGCAAGUCGAACGGCAGCACAGUAAGAGCUUGCUCUUACUGGUGGCGAGUGGCGGACGGGUGAGGAAUACAUCGGAAUCUACUUUUUCGUGGGGGAUAACGUAGGGAAACUUACGCUAAUACCGCAUACGACCUACGGGUGAAAGCAGGGGAUCUUCGGACCUUUCGCGAUUGAAUGAGCCGAUGUCGGAUUAGCUAGUUGGCGGGGUAAAGGCCCACCAAGGCGACGAUCCGUAGCUGGUCUGAGAGGAUGAUCAGCCACACUGGAACUGAGACACGGUCCAGACUCCUACGGGAGGCAGCAGUGGGGAAUAUUGGACAAUGGGCGCAAGCCUGAUCCAGCCAUACCGCGUGGGUGAAGAAGGCCUUCGGGUUGUAAAGCCCUUUUGUUGGGAAAGAAAAGCAGCAGGUUAAUACCCCGCUAUUCUGACGGUACCCAAAGAAUAAGCACCGGCUAACUUCGUG
rnacentral:rRNA from 1 species